UACAGAGGUCUCAAGCGUUGUUCGGAUUCAUUGGGCGUAAAGGGUGUGUAGGUGGCGCGCUAAGUCGGGUGUGAAAUUUCGGAGCUUAACUCCGGAAACUGCAUUCGAUACUGGCGUGCUUGAGGACUGGAGAGGAGACUGGAAUUCAUGGUGUAGCAGUGAAAUGCGUAGAGAUCAUGAGGAAGACCAGUGGCGAAGGCGGGUCUCUGGACAGUUCCUGACACUGAGACACGAAGGCCAGGGGAGCAAACGGG
rnacentral:rRNA from 1 species